rnacentral:lncRNA from 1 species
AGAAUUUAGUUUACAGUUUAAUUGUGAAGCAAGGAUAAUAAUAGUCGCUUCCUAAAACUGAUCCGCUCCUUGUUUGGAGACUGAAACAGUCUUUGUAAGACAAUGAAAGGUCACAAGAUUAGUAUUCUGAGAGGGGCCUGAAUUCUGCUAAAAUGUUGCUAACUUUGGAGGAAGCCAGCUGCCAUGUCACAAAAAGAUUCAGGAAGCCAUGUGGAGAGGCCCACAUCAUGAGGAACUGAGGUCUUUGCCAAUUACCAGCAAGGAAAUGAGGCCUCCUGCCAACAGCCACGUGAGUAUCCUACCUUGGAAAUGGACCCUCUAACUUCAAUCAGCCUUCAAAUAACUGCAGCCCCAGUUGAUGGCUUGACUGCAACCUUAGGAGAAACCCUGAGCCAAAAACAUUGAGGAAAAACACCCCCAGAUUCCUAUCAGAAAUUGUGUAAGAUAAUAAAUGUUUGUUGUUUUAAGCUGCUAAAAAAAAAAAAAAA